GUUCCUUCUCCAGCCACACUCCCUUCAGUCUCAGUACCAAGACCCCAACCUUCCAAACUGCCUUGUGCAGAGUAGGGAGUUCUGCCUUCAGUGUCUCUAGACACACAGGAGGCUGUAUGUGUAUCAGACACUGCUUAAGGCAGCUUUCAUGAAGGAAAAAAACCCACAACAUCCAAUCAUAUAUGCAGUUAAGCACAUUGGUAAUUCAUAUAUUCUUCUUGACUAGAAAGCUGUAAGAGGCCGCACAAGUGCAAUGCAGGGUAACUAGCAGGACCUGAACUUUUGCAUUUCCUGGCUUUGAGUGUGCAGACUUAACAGUGAAAUAAGUCUGUUGCACUUGAAUUAGUCUCAUAAUUUUUUACCACCUUCAUCACGGGAGCCCAUAAAUUCACACAUGUAUGGUAUGUCUUUUCAGGGCCAGAUUCAAUUCAGCUGAGAAGUGUCUAGUCACUGAGGCUUUCUGCUGGGCACGUUUGGUCAUGCACGGUCAGGCUUAGUACCCUGAAGUCCACACAGAGGACUGCUCUGUUAUGCAGCAGCCGAUGAGAAUGCAGCCAGCAGGCCAUGUUAACAGAGGGUCAUGCAAAAGGAAAACACGGUACCACACAUUUAAAAAAAAAAAUCCUACAAGGGACACAAGUCUUCUUAUUGGCUGCAAUGUGGGAUCGUCUGGAAUCAAUCCAGCUGCUACCAUGGGCAUUAUGGCUGUAAAGAUCCUGGUCAGGAAAGUACAGACACAGAAGAGGGACACUGGACAAGACACCAGAACCUUGGUAACAGCUGGAUGCAGCUGUGCUGAAGCCAAAAAACCAACCGAGACGGACAAGGACCCUCGCACCAGCCAGCACAACAGAGCACUGGUACCUUCCCACAACUUGCUCUUGUUUACUUGCAGUUCUUGAACCACUGCAUCUGCAAACAGGUUCCUGAAUCCACUUUUCUGCAGGCAGUCUCAGGGCUGAGCCUAAAACAUCAGCUAUGUUUGAAAAGAAACACAAAACUCCAAAACUGCCAUGAGGUACCGAGGGGCUGCAGCGAGACUUCAGACAAGCAGUUUUACCCCAGUGAGCCAGGAACAGUGAGUGCAGCUAUAUUCAUUAGUAUUUGUGUAAUGCUUUGAGAUCUCUAGAUAGCAGGUGCUAUUUAAAGUACCAUUUUGGUGCUAACUGCUUUUCCUCCCACUAUGCUCUUUUUUCUCUCUAACAUUUGGUGAGCAUCAAAGACUUAAUUGCGUGCACUGAUCACUCCAUUAUCCUUUUUAUUUCAGGAGGAGGGGAUAGGAAAGGUGGGAAGUGUUUGUGAAACAGUCACAUCUCCUUCCAUUUUCUCCAGCACUGGGGAAGCGGGGAGGGAAAUCACUAAGUGCCCUAAAUGUAAUUAUCUCUAAAUGACUCAAAGUCUAAUAUCUGCAAGAUCUUAAGUGGCACACCCAGCUGGCUUCCCUAGAUACAUCCUAUGAAUUCACAGCUUCCUGUUAAUUGCUGUGAUCACAGCAUUGUUCCAAGGAGUAAAAGAAAGGAAAACAUGAAGGAAAAAAAAAAAAGAAAAAGGCAAAAAAAGAACAUAUUUUACGUUUAUGCUUGGGAAACUGUUUACUGAUGCAUUUACACAACAUCUAUCACAGCAGACCAAAACGCUGAUCAGAGUUUGUGGCACUACUACUUCCUCAAUACUCGUAAUAGAAAUUGGCCUUCACUUUGGACAGGGAAUGGUAGGCUCCCCUGCAGCCAAGCACAGGAGGUUUCCAUGACUCUUGGCAUCCUGCUGCUUGUCUGUAUUACUGUGGCCAGCCUGAGAGAGCAGCUCCUCUCCCAGCAGAGAAACAGCAGCCUGCUUGUCCUGUUUGACACAUGGGUCAAGUUUGCUUGUGGCAUUUUACUAGGAUAGUGUGAUCAGUCAGCAUCUUCACAUUAGCGCUCUGUUUGAGCUUAGGGAGGAGUAGCAUUAAUGGAUGCUGCAAAUUCAUCUUUAACCCCUCCUGUUUAUUUUGUAUUCUGUCACAUGUGCCCUUUUGUAUGAACACUGCUCUGCUCCAAUUCUCAGAGCGUGCACUUUCUGUUCAGAGACCUCCUAUUUAGGUGGGAUGGCACCGGUCUCUCUCAUAAACACCUUCAUCAUGCAAAAGUGAAGCUCUGUGAACUAUAAUGUGACUAUUAUACGGCAAGGAUUGAUUCUCAAAACCUUAGCACACCUAAAUCACUGGCUUCUGCUGCCUGUUCUAAGAACAACUCCUAUAACUGACUGCGUGGUGAGUAAGCAGCCAACUGCUAAUCCCAGGAGAGUGAGCUGCUAAGGGGAGACACGAUCACAAUGCCAAAUCAUGCUGAGAUAUGAAGACUGGAGCCUGGUCAAAGUUAGUCAAGCUAACAAAGCAUUUAGCUUGAAAACCAGCCUCUGUAGAGCCUAUGUGCAUCAGAUCAAAUGAUGGAGAGGAGAUAUAAAGCAGCAUGACUGCCUUCUGACACUAUCCAAACAAGUAAUUUGAGACAAACCUCCUCUUUAAUGAUGUAAUUUCCUAAAUGGAAAACAAUUGGGUUUGAUAUAACAGAUCCCUAUAACAAGCUGAGUUUGCUGUAAAUUAAUGUGAUUUGACUUAAAUUGACCAUUUCAGCUAAAGAAUAUCAGUGAUCCCCAAAUGUCAUCUCUGGAAUGGGUUUGUUUGUUAUUAUACUUGCGUAGACACAGUAAAAAUAACAUGAAAAGCAUGUGUGGCAUUUGCUUGGCUAGCUGAAUGUAAAGAGUAUGGCUAUAUUUAAAUACAAGCACAUGAGCUCCAGUGAGCUAGAUACCCAGUGGAAAAAAAGGUGAGAAAACAAAGGGGAAGAUGGUUCUUUAUAAUAACACCAGCCUUCAUGGCCUGUGACUCAUAACUGCCAUUCUGACACUCUAUGGAGUUUGUGGGCUGACAUCGAACUACUUUUAAGAGAUUUAACGGACUAAGUUGAAAGUACUGCAUUUGUUUCAGAAAGGUAAUAAUUUUUAUUAAAAAGUAAAAUUAAACUCCCAGUUUUAUAAUUCAAAUUUAAUAAUUUUUGCUUUUUUAUUUUCAUUAUGUUCCUCCUCAGGGAAGUGAGUAGUCAGCUCCUGGGUGGGAAGCAAGUGUAACUUCUGCAGUGAUGGACAGUUUCAUCCACCUACAGGGAGCCUCAGUUUAAUCCUAACCCUCCAGCGUCUGCAAAGGAUAUCCAUUUGUUCCUAAUGCUUUACUGGACCACAGUGGCUCAGCUGCAUGGUCUGGUUUUCAGUCUGGCCAGUGACUUUGCAUGCUAAACACGGGGCAUUAGCCUCCUGAGGGAGCUAUGGCUUUACUUAUAUUCAGAACCCAAUGUGAAAGCGAAGCUGUGGCUUGAAGCAGCGUGCCAGGGCCCUGUUCAUGUGCAAAUAGUUCAGAAAGCCAUCCCCUCCCAGACUAACUCAUUAUCACAGGCAGGUUUUGCUGCAGUCACCAUUCUCAGCUGCCCACCCCAUCUCUCAGCUCAAGGCUGCUCCAUCCCCAAAGCUGCACAGUCAUUUUUUCAACUCCUCAGCUUAAACCUCAAGUAAAGCAUCGUGAAAUGGACUUCACAGCUAGCAGACUCAAAUAAUGCGCUGCGAAUUGUGUAGCAAAUAGAAAUCUGUCCCUCUGCUCUCACUCUUAGCAAAGAGCUGUUAGCUGAGCUGUGGGUAAGAGCUGAGGAUGGCAACUGUUUCAGCUGCUGCAGUGAAAUCUACCUGCAGUUGCCAGUCAGAACCUUUUGCCUCAAAAUUCACUCUGCCUCAAGAAAGAAGUUGCUCGUGAAUUAAUCAAUCAGUUGUUCCAGCUCGUUAGGAUUCACCCACUCCCUGGCUCAUACAUCUCUUCACCUACUCUAAAUUGUCUGGAAGUGUCUUGAACAGGUGAAGGAAUCCCACAGGGAAAUAAACCAAAUAAAAUCUCUCAGUUUAGUCUUCUAGAAAUCUCUGUACGAUGGAUUGAUGUAAUUGAGACAAAUCUUAAUUUUCUGCUUUACAAACAAUCAUCCUGAAUAGACUGCCAGCUGCACUUAUUUUUGUGCAUAAUGGUGUGAAAUAAACAUUGCUGAAUGGA